AUUGAACGCUGGCGGCAGGCCUAACACAUGCAAGUCGAACGGUAACAGGAAGCAGCUUGCUGCUUUGCUGACGAGUGGCGGACGGGUGAGUAAUGUCUGGGAAACUGCCUGAUGGAGGGGGAUAACUACUGGAAACGGUAGCUAAUACCGCAUAACGUCGCAAGACCAAAGAGGGGGACCUUCGGGCCUCUUGCCAUCGGAUGUGCCCAGAUGGGAUUAGCUUGUUGGUGGGGUAACGGCUCACCAAGGCGACGAUCCCUAGCUGGUCUGAGAGGAUGACCAGCCACACUGGAACUGAGACACGGUCCAGACUCCUACGGGAUGCAGCAGUGGGGAAUAUUGCACAAUGGGCGCAAGCCUGAUGCAGCCAUGCCGCGUGUAUGAAGAAGGCCUUCGGGUUGUAAAGUACUUUCAGCGGGGAGGAAGGGAGUAAAGUUAAUACCUUUACUCAUUGACGUUACCCGCAGAAGAAGCACCGUCUAACUCCGUG
rnacentral:rRNA from 1 species